GGUUUCGUUCUUAUAUUUCACUGUAUAAACUACAAAAACAUUCGUUUCUAUUAUACAUUCGCCAUUUUACACUGAGACUGCACGGUCGACGUGUGACAUCUCUUCGAUAAAAGCUUGUUUUUGCAGCUGUAUUUUUUCAGCAUUCUUUUGACUUCCAGCCAAUACCAUGGGAAAAGCAAAGCAAACUGUCCCCCCUGAGCAAAGAAGAACUUCCCCACGACUGGCACUGAAACCGAAGGCAGCCUCAGUGGAGACUAAGAAAAAAGCUGCUCCAAAGAAGGCACCCAAAGCAAAGAAGGCCAAGCCAGCUGAGAAUGGCAACACCAAGGCUGAGGAGCCAAAGGCUGAAGCCACCGAAGCCAAAUAAAUAAUGGUUGAAGAUGUGCUCACUCUGUGUACUUGGUGAUUGUACAGUUUUAAAUAAGUAUUUUUUACCAAGUUUUAUAUUACAAAUAUGUCAUUUAUAGGUUUGUUCUGGGCUUGCACUCGGUGUAACAAGAUUUUGUUUUCACAUUCAUAUCCUUUUUUUUUUUUUAAUCAACUUUUAAACAAUUACCGUCCAUAUCUUGUAGGCGUGGCAUUUUAGUUUGUCUAAUCCGUUUUGUUUUUUGAAACUGCUGAUGAAUAGAUACUUUAAAGUCGGGUUAUGAAUCUAAUUUUAAACAUAAGGCAGCUAAAAUGUAGUAAAAACUUACAGGAGAAUAGGAACUUUGCCUUUUAUCUCCCUGUAUUUUAAUGUUUGACUAAUAAAACAGUUGCUUACCAAAAGAAUUCAAGUGAUGUAUGUCAACGUAAGAUCUAGUCAGUUAUAAUGCCACAUAAAUUUAGUGUUAUUAGGUCAAACGUUUGGUAGAUCCCCAAAACACGUACCAUGUAAAUCUGGUCUUCUGAUUGGGAAAAAAAAGUUAAGUUAUGUUUUUGUAAGGGGAAGUGGAUUUUUCUUUUUUUUUUCUGACUUCAGUGCUCGAUCUAAAUGUUCUUGAAUAAAAAAACUUUAAAAUG